rnacentral:lncRNA from 1 species
CAAAGGAAGGUUUAAUAUUUGACAGGAGUUUAUUGUCUAUGUUUGAUCACUACACCAAGAGUACCACUUACAAGUUGUUUUUCUGUCCAAAGACUAAAAGCAAUGUUGUGUUAGGUAUCUUAUAAUGGGAAAUGCCUAAUUUUGAAUCUAUAAAGUUAAGUUCAAGUAUUUGUAAGCAUGUAUUUAGUAAUCCUUUUGUUCUAUUUUCAGUAAAUUCUUC